rnacentral:misc_RNA from 1 species
AAAGGGGAAAAGGGUGGAGCAGGGAAAAGACAAAGGAACACUUGCCCAACUUGAAAGUUAACUUUCAAGGAAGCAAAUGGUUAUUGAUAUUUUCUUAAUGUUGGCUUGCAGAACAAGGCCUUUUUUUUUUGCCUGUGAAAAUUGUGCACUUUGAGGAAGGGUGAUGUACUGUGACCUUUACUUUUGCAUAAUUAAAUAUUCACGCAAAACAUUUAUUUUUAUUUUCAGGUAAAAGUGAUGCCACUUCCAAAGCCAUUUUGAUUUGGG